CCAGCCGCGGUAAUACGUAGGGUGCGAGCGUUAAUCGGAAUUACUGGGCGUAAAGCGCACGCAGGCGGCUCGAUAAAUUAGAAGUGAAAGCCUUGGGCUUAACCUGAGAAUUGCUUUUAAGACUGUCGAGCUAGAAUCCAGAAGAGGGUAGUGGAAUUCCGAGUGUAGAGGUGAAAUUCGUAGAUAUUCGGAAGAACACCAGUGGCGAAGGCGACUACCUGGUCUGGCAUUGACGCUCAUGUGCGAAAGCGUGGGGAGCAAACAGGAUUAGAUACCCCAGUAGUCCCUGUCUCUUAUACAC
rnacentral:rRNA from 1 species